CCGUCAAUCUCUCCGUCCCCCUGAAUCACAGACCCCAGAUAUCUUACACUGUCCCUCUUGGCUAUGGCCUGAGAACCAAGCAUCACUUCCCUGCCUACCCAACUCGGCUCGUCGCCAAACUUGCACUCCAGAUAUUCUGUCUUAGAUCUGCUUGUUUUGAAACCCUUAGACUCGAGGGUCUGUCUCCAUAUCUCUAACCUUUCACUAACACCGGCCC
rnacentral:lncRNA from 1 species